GUAGUCCAGUGAAGGAGUGUUUAGGUCGGGUUUUACAGGAGUGCCUCGAAGCUACUGGCCCGACAGUGGAAACGCGGCAUGAUUUCGGCCUCUGUGCUUGAGCUCGAGGAUGGCCCAC